AUUGAACGCUGGCGGCAGGCUUAACACAUGCAAGUCGAGCGGUAACAGAGAGAAGCUUGCUUCUCUGCUGACGAGCGGCGGACGGGUGAGUAAUGCCUAGGAAUCUGCCUAGUAGUGGGGGAUAACUUGCCGAAAGGUAAGCUAAUACCGCAUACGUCCUACGGGAGAAAGGAGGGGACCUUCGGGCCUUUCGCUAUUAGAUGAGCCUAGGUCGGAUUAGUUAGUUGGUGAGGUAAUGGCUCACCAAGCACGCGAUCCGUAACUGGUCUGAGAGGAUGAUCAGUCACACUGGAACUGAGACACGGUCCAGACUCCUACGGGAGGCAGCAGUGGGGAAUAUUGGACAAUGGGGGGAACCCUGAUCCAGCCAUGCCGAGUGUGUGAAGAAGGUCUUAGGAUUGUAAAGCACUUUAAGUUGGGAGGAAGAGCAGUUAACUAAUAUUUGACUGUUUUGACGUUACCGACAGAAUAAGCACCGGCUAACUUCGUGCCAGCCGCCGCCGUAA
rnacentral:rRNA from 1 species